rnacentral:rRNA from 1 species
GACGAACGCUGGCGGCGUGCUUAACACAUGCAAGUCGAACGGAGCGAAUGAAAGCUUGCUUUUAUGAGCUUAGUGGCAAACGGGUGAGUAACACGUAGACAACCUGCCGACAGGAUGGGGACAACAUUCCGAAAGGAAUGCUAAUACCGAAUGAAGCGGAGGAGAGGCAUCUCUCCUCCGUGAAAGAUGGCCUCUGAACAUGCUAUCACCUGUCGAUGGGUCUGCGUCUGAUUAGCUAGUUGGUGAGGUAACGGCUCACCAAGGCGACGAUCAGUAGCCGGUCUGAGAGGAUGAACGGCCACAUUGGGACUGAGACACGGCCCAGACUCCUACGGGAGGCAGCAGUGGGGAAUCUUCCGCAAUGGGCGCAAGCCUGACGGAGCAACGCCGCGUGAGUGAAGAAGGUCUUCGGAUCGUAAAGCUCUGUUGACGGGGACGAACGUGCGAAG